rnacentral:rRNA from 1 species
AGUGAACGCUGGCGGUAGGCCUAACACAUGCCAGUCGAACGGCAGCACAGUAAGAGCUUGCUCUUACGGGUGGCGAGUGGCGGACGGGUGAGGAAUACAUCGGAAUCUACUUUUUCGUGGGGGAUAACGUAGGGAAACUUACGCUAAUACCGCAUACGACCUACGGGUGAAAGCAGGGGAUCUUCGGACCUUGCGCGAUUGAAUGAGCCGAUGUCGGAUUAGCUAGUUGGCGGGGUAAAGGCCCACCAAGGCGACGAUCCGUAGCUGGUCUGAGAGGAUGAUCAGCCACACUGGAACUGAGACACGGUCCAGACUACUACGGGAGACAGCAGUGGGGAAUAUUGGACAAUGGGCGCAAGCCUGAUCCAGCCAUACCGCGUGGGUGAAGAAGGCCUUCGGGUUGUAAAGCCCUUUUGUUGGGAAAGAAAAGCAGCAGGUUAAUACCCCGCUGUUCUGACGGUACCCAAAGAAUAAGCACCGGCUAACUUCGUG